rnacentral:misc_RNA from 1 species
GAUGAAGAACGUAGCGAAAUGCGAUAAGUAAUGUGAAUUGCAGAAUUCCGUGAAUCAUCGAAUCUUUGAACGCACAUUGCGCCCCCUGGUAUUCCGGGGGGCAUGCCUGUCCGAGCGUCAUUGCAACCUUCAAGCGCGGCUUGUGUGUUGGGUCUCGUCCCCCGUGGACGGGCCCAAAAGGCAGUGGCGGCGUCCCGACAUGGUGCCCGAGCGUAUGGGAAUCCUCUUCCGCUCGAAUCGGCCCAUGCGGCGCUGGUCGUAACCAAAUUUUUUACCGGUUGACCUCGGAUCAGGUAGGGAUACCCGCUGAACUUAAGCAUAUCAAUAAGCGGAGGA